AAAAGUCCUUGAAGACUGCCUUUCAGGUUUACUUAGAAACCCAGAGCAUUUUAACCCUCAGUAGUGAGCACACAGAGAUAUUCCUUCAGCAUACCAUACUGCCAUAGAGUGAUGGAGGAAUGACACCAGUAAUUUGAGACCUCUUCAGUGGCUCUGUGAUACAAAGUUAAAACCAGUGUUUAUUAUAUCCCUCUAUAUGGCCAUGUGUACUCAUCGUUCACCUUCCACUUACAUGUAAAAACAUAUGGUAAGUGAUUUUCUGAUUUUGAGUUAUUUUACUAAAGAUAAUUGUUUUUAGCUCUGUGGAUGUGAUUGCAAAAACUGUAACAUUAUUGUAAAUAUUUAUGGUUAUGCAGUAUUAAAUCAUGUAUAGACACCACAUUUUCAUAUUUUCAAUUCAAUCAUACUUUGAUGGAAACUUGGGUUAAUUCCAUGA
rnacentral:lncRNA from 1 species